AUUGAACGCUGGCGGAAUGCUUUACACAUGCAAGUCGAACGGCAGCACGGGGGCAACCCUGGUGGCGAGUGGCGAACGGGUGAGUAAUACAUCGGAACGUGCCCGGUCGUGGGGGAUAACGUAGCGAAAGUUACGCUAAUACCGCAUACGAUCUGAGGAUGAAAGCGGGGGACCUUCGGGCCUCGCGCGAUCGGAGCGGCCGAUGUCAGAUUAGGUAGUUGGUGGGGUAAAGGCCUACCAAGCCGACGAUCUGUAGCUGGUCUGAGAGGACGACCAGCCACACUGGGACUGAGACACGGCCCAGACUCCUACGGGAGGCAGCAGUGGGGAAUUUUGGACAAUGGGCGCAAGCCUGAUCCAGCCAUUCCGCGUACAGGACGAAGGCCUUCGGGUUGUAAACUGCUUUUGUAUGGAACGAAAAGGCUCUGGCUAAUACCUGGGGCUCAUGACGGUACCGUAAGAAUAAGCACCGGCUAACUACGUG
rnacentral:rRNA from 1 species